AGAGUUUGAUCAUGGCUCAGGACGAACGCUGGCGGCGUGCCUAAUACAUGCAAGUCGAGCGGACCGAACAGGAGCUUGCUCUUGUUUGGUUAGCGGCGGACGGGUGAGUAACACGUGGGUAACCUACCCGUAAGACCGGGAUAACUCCGGGAAACCGGAGCUAAUACCGGAUAACACCAAAGACCGCAUGGUCUCUUGGCUGAAAGGCGGCUUCGGCUGUCGCUUACGGAUGGGCCCGCGGCGCAUUAGCUAGUUGGUGAGGUAACGGCUCACCAAGGUGACGAUGCGUAGCCGGCCUGAGAGGGUGACCGGCCACACUGGGACUGAGACACGGCCCAGACUCCUACGGGAGGCAGCAGUAGGGAAUCUUCCGCAAUGGACGAAAGUCUGACGGAGCGACGCCGCGUGAGCGAAGAAGGUCUUCGGAUCGUAAAGCUCUGUUGUUAGGGAAGAAGAAGUACCGUUCGUAAUAGGG
rnacentral:rRNA from 1 species